rnacentral:misc_RNA from 1 species
UUGAGGAAAUUCCAAGUUCUGACACUGACAUCAUAAACAAAUUUUGUUUUUCGUUUAUUAUGGCUGGUUGGAUCUUUAAAAGUGUUUGCUGUUUUCUAAUCGUAUCAUUAUUGAUUCUUGACAUUGUAGAAACGAGGCGCUCUCGUUAUGGGAGUGUUCGAACCCGCGUGAGAACCCGGAUCCGCCAGCGCGUCCGCUAUGGCAGCAGGAUAUCGUACCUUCGUCACGGCUCCAGUCCGUUUACACGUUCCACAUGGCAGGUGGCGUUUCUAGCCGGGUCGAUCUACGGAGGAUCAAGAUACAUGAGGAGUCCAUAUUAUCACCGUUACAGAGACAGAAUGCCCUACAUCUGCACUAACUACUACGAUACGGACCAGAACGGUACAAUGUACGGUUACUUUGUGUGUCCUCGCAAUGGGGAGCCGAUGGACUUUGACCGCUGUUGUGGUAGAAGUCGACGGGAGUACUGCUGUCGGUACUAUAAUAAUAACAGCACUGGACAGACGGUUGGAAUUGUUAUUGGCGUCUUGUUACUCGUUGUCAUCGUUGGAGUCACCGUCUAUUGCUGCGUUAAGAAGUCGGGGAAAGCGGGUCAUGUGUUUGGAAAGGUGCCAGGGAUAAGCAGCAACCGGCUGCACAAAGAACAGGCAGUUCCGCUGAAUCAGGAAGCUCCUGUGAUGAUGAUGACUACAGAACAGCCGGGACCUCCUGCAGGAGCCUAUGCACCCCCUUCAAACCAACAACCUGGGCCACCGGGAGCCUACAUGCCACCGGGAAACCAACCCCCUCCCCCUGGGAGUUACCCACAGCCAUCACCUGGAGAGUACCCCCCUCCGGCAUACACUGCCGGCUAUGACCCUAAUGCACCAGCACCGUAUCCACCAACUAAUGAAAAACCCCAGUUGCCUCCUGGAGAAGUCAACACUGGCGGCUACCCUUAUCCAAGUGACCCAGGGGUGAUGCCCUACCCUGCAGAUCCAAACAGACAGCCACCACCCCCUGAUGGUUAUGGAUAUGGUCCACCAACCGGGCAGCCAUAUCCAUCGCAGCCAUACCCUUCCCACCCGGCCCCGCCUUACCCGCAGUAAGGUGAAGAGAAAGUGCUGGCAGUCAGAGAAAGUGCUGGCAGUCAGAGGAGAAAGUGUACUUCAAGUGUUCUGUGCUGUUUUAGACAUUUUCACACGAGGGUGAUUACUUCAAAUACUGGUUGUCCUUAUGUGUACGACUAUUCAUUACUCCAGGAUACUUAAAGAAUUAGGGUUAGUGACUUUAAUGAAUAUAUAGCACUCUGAUUAUUAUGUCAUGUGUUCCCCCCACCACCACCACCACCACCCACUCCCCGGUGAUUGUUUGUAGACCAGCCCUUAACACUUGAUAAACGAUUGUGAAGAUGGUUGGCCAUGUAAUAUCUAGUCUUUGGUCUUUUAUAUAACACACAUACAUGAAUUUUUGAAUUUGUAUUAAAUUUAAAAAUUCUUACUCAAUUUUUAAAACAUUUUACAAUUCUUAUUAAAAUGUUUAAAAAUAUUUAAUUCAAAUUUUUAAAGUACAUUUUCAUUGGAUAAUUCUAAAACUUGGUACUAUGAUUCUUUGUGGUAGUCUCCACAAAGUAAUAGUAAGAUAUUUUGGAAGUUUUGAAUUUUUAUUGAAUUUUUAAACAUUUAAAUUAUAGAAUUUAACAUUGAUUUUUUUUUAAAGUCUUUUCAUCUCAUAGAAUUUAAGUUUGGUAGUUUUGAUUCUCAGUACAAUGAUUCUCAGGGGCAGUCUUCAAAAUCUCCCACCCCUGCAAUUAAGAAAAUGUCCAUGGCAAAACAGCGGGGUAUAAAAUUGAGCAUAGUUUACAGCAAAAAAGUGCUGCCGAGAAUUAAAAACCCUGCAGUGAUCUAUAUGUUACUCUUAUUGUAUGUCUAUAACUGGUGGGUCUGUUGCAGCUGUUUUGUUUUGUGCAUACCCAUAACUCUAUGACAAUAAGUAGCAAGUCAUGUUUUGCGAAUUAUGUUUGUAUGUUUUCCUUAAUGACACAACUAGAGCACAUUGAUUUAUUAAUAAUUGACAGUGUACUCUAAUGGUAUCGUUAAACAAAACAAUCUUCUUUCUGUCGGUCCAGCCGUCUUUUUUACAGUUUUCUGGACUUUUUAUUCCCAGUUCCUCAAGAUAUUCAACAAAAUGUUUGUGUUAUCUACGUAUAAUAUUAUCUUAUAGAGCUACUGAGCAAGUUUGGGUUUUUUAAAUUUGUCAAUGUUUGACAGGGUUAUGGCCCUUGAACUUAGGAGAUUUGUUGGACCCAGUGAGGGUCAUGUAUUGCUUUAGCAGUACUCUCAGAAUGCUUGUAAAUGAUGUUUCCUGUGAAUAAUAUAUACACACAUCUGUAUUCUUUUUUUGGCAGACAUGGUCAAAUAUAAUGCAUAUGUCGUAACACGAAAAGGUUAACAACUUACUCAAUGUACAAAACAUAAACACCAUCAGGGGUGGCAGUGCGUAACAAAUAGUGGUACAUCUCGAGGUUGCCAGACUCUCCUUUCAAAUUCACCUGUGAAGGAUAUUUUUACAGAUACAUCAAAUAUAACACACAUACACAAAAAGAAGUGGUACAGCCAUGCCGUACCUCUUUGAAAAGUGGUAUGGCCAUGGCAGUACUGGCCAUACCGUCUGCGCUGCCCCUGACCAUUAAUAUUGCCAAUGACUGUAAUGUUAGGCUUUGUAUUGAAAAUAGGGUCACUGUUACACAAAAUUAAAUUCAGGUAACCCAUUUCAUUUUUGCAUAACCUGUUACAUGUACAUCCAUGUAAAUGAUGUCCUAAAUUAGACAAAACAAAACAAAAGAAGAAGUUUAUGUAAUAUGAUGUGCAAUUUUAGAGGGCUGAAUAUAAAACAGGGCUCGAAAUGGCCUGUGGCCAGGUCACCAAAUGUGACCAAUGUUCCGUUUGGACAACUUAAAUAUUAAAACAUAAUGGCAUUAGUCGCCCAAAUAUUAUUAUUUGGGCGAUCUUCUUUAAAGCUAUAACAUAUGAGCCACUGUCAAUGUUUGUAUUGCAUAUAUUUAUUCCACAUUAAAAUCUUGCUCGUGGUUCAUGGUUCGCUUAUCAUAAUUUGCAAACAUCCAUUAUUAUAUUUUGGGCCACCAUAUUUUUUUUUGAGUUUCGAUCUGUGAAUAUAAAGUGUUCUGAACUGAAAUCAUUAUGUCACUGUAGUAUUCAAAUUGGGUAUAUAUAAUGUAUUAACAAUGUGUUGUUAUUUUGAUGCCAUGCCACACAGUUUAAAGGGACAUUCCUGACUUUGCUACAUUGUAAGAUGUUUCAAACUAAUAAAAUAUUUCUACAAUUA